rnacentral:lncRNA from 1 species
GCGCAUUCAAAAUUUUAUAGAACUGGGAAGAAAUCAUUAAUACAAACUUGGUAACUUUAACCAUUGCUCAAACUUAUUGAGAUAAAACGGAACACAAUCUCGUAGCACAUGCCUCCUCUUCUGCAGUUCUAGUGAUAUGAUAUAUCUCAAGAGUCAUCUUUACUUUUGGUUGCUGGAUUGAAAGCUUCCUGCUCUGCACACGUGAGUAUUUCAUGUGGUCCUGCCUGCUCACGGCCAACACCCAUUAAGUCAAGGUAGUAUUGGUAAUGGGAGACGAUGGUGUUCAUGGCAUCGAUGUCACCUUGACCGCAUACCAUUUCCCCAUAAAGAAUAUUCAUGGUGGCACCGAAACCAGGAGUUCGCUUGGCUAAAGUGUCAUUCUUGGUGGGCUUCCAGUUGCCGACGAAAGCAUCAUGUGAUGAAGGCUGCCCCUUCUUGAUUUCGGUCAUCCACCUCCAGAUUGCUGCCUGGAAUGCAAGGGUAGCAUUCUGUUCAAUGUAUUCUGGAUGGUUCAAUAGAUCCACCUUUAGGGCCUCCCCAGCAGCGCCAUAGUUGACGUUCCUGAGCAGCCAAAAAGUUAUAAAUAUAAGCAACCAUAAUCUAAAGAUGUCAGCAGCACUCAAACAUUCUUUCUUUACCUAACAAGUAGCAAAUGACCUAUGAAUUCAAUAAGACAUAAAUUUCUUCGCGAACCACUAUGGAUACACGGGUCAGAAUUUACUAAAUUUUUAUUAAAUCUCUAUUUGAGUUGCAAAUAUAGUUGAGACAAUAGUGGCUAAAUGGGCAACUCAUCCUAUCAAUUAAGUACUCCAAUAUACCAGUAAUAAAUUCAAAUCAGCUACGCUUAAAACGUAAGAAUUAGGAGCACUGACAAAAGAAUCAAAUAAUACUUACCAGUAGAUAGGCAGAGCACCACGUCCGUAGUAUUCAGCCCCAGGAGCACAUGGGUAUGUGUACUUGUAUGAGUCAUCACAAUAUGAUUGGCUAGGACUUAAUUCUCUGUUGUAGCACAAACCCCAUGCCAAUGGUCCUCCAGUUGCGACUCCAUAACCACCUGCACAUUAAAUCAAUGCCAAAUCUUGCAACUUGUUUAUAGAUGGAUGAAAAUAACAAAAGAUCACUAAGAUAUUAGGCAACAAACAUAUUUAAGACUGAAACUCUGAAGGCAAUAUAGAUCGACCAAAGACUGUAAAUAAUUACAGACUAACUUAGGUACUGUUUGGCAUUGCUGUUGCAGAUAGCAACAGCAGCUUUUUGCUGAAAAACAGGUGAAAAACUGUUUGAUGUUGUAAUAUAUUAGCUAUAAAAGAACAACCGGAGAGCUACUAAAUUUAACAGAAGGAGGGUAAGAAGCUGAGCAUAGAAAGAAAGCUCGGGUGCAAUUUAUUCAUUCACUGAUGCAAGCUAUUUAUAGCAAAAGAUAGCACAAGAGCAUUAAAUGCAUUGUAACAUUUCUACUCCUAAAACCUAGCCUUACUAUUUUACCUUUGACUAUAACAAUCAAUUCACAACACUCCCCUUUGAUUGUUAUUGUACAUGGAUCAUAGAUUGCCUCAUUAAAACCUUAUCAAAGAAAAACCCAGUGGGAUAAAAACUUUGAUGAAGGAAAAAGAGUACAAUCUCCCCUUGGAUGAAAACAUCAAUCACUGAAGUUUUGCUGCAGCAGAUCUUUGAGUCGACGCAUUCCAAUGUUACGUCGCAGCUUUGCAAAUGUUGAAUUUGGCAACGAUUUUGUGAAUAAGUCUGCAAGGUUGUCACAUGAUUGAAUUUGUUGUACAUCGAUUUCACCAUUCUUUUGAAGCUCAUGAGUAUAGAAGAAUUUCGGUGAAAUAUGCUUCGUCCUGUCUCCUUUGAUAUAUCCUUCUUUGAGUUGAUCAAUGCAUGCAGUGUUAUCCUCAAACAUAAUAGUAGGACUUCUUGUGAUGUCUUGUAAUCCACACGAUUCUUGAAUAUUCUUGAUAAUAGAUCGUAACCAAACACAUUCUCUACUGGCUUUAUGAAUCGCAAUCAGUUCCGAGUGAUUUGUUGAGGUUGCCACUGUAGUUUGCUUCGUGGAUUUCCAAGAAAUGGCAGUACCGCAAUAUGUGAAUACAUAUCCAGUUUGUGAUUUGCCAAAAUGAGGAUCUGAUAGAUAUCUAGCGUCUGCAUAUCCAAUCAACUGAGAUGUCGAGUUUUCCGGGAAGAAUAACCCAAAAUCAAUUGUUCCACGAAGAUAACGAAAUAUAUGUUUGAUCCCAUUCCAGUGUCUGGCCAUCGGAGCAGAACUAAAUCGAGCCAAUAAAUUUACAGCGAAUGCAAUAUCUGACCUUGUAUUAUUUGCAAGAUACAUGAGUGCACCAAUAGCUCCAAGAUAUGGGAUUUCAGGACCAAGAACUUCUUCAUCAUCUUCUCGUGGUCGAAAUGGAUCUUUAUCUGGUUCUAAAGAUCUAACCACCAUUGGAGUAGUCAACGGAUGAGAUUUAUCCAUGUAAAAUCUGUUCAAGACCUUUUCUGUAUAUGUAGAUUGGUGGAGGAAAAUUCCUGAUGACAAGUGCUCGACUUGUAUACCAAGACAAUACUUUGUCUUCCCAAGAUCUUUCAUUUCAAACUCUGUCUUUAGAUAUAUGACAGCUUCAUCAACCUCUGUAGCUGUUCCUACAAGAUUUAAAUCAUCCACAUAUACAGCAAUAAUCACAAAACCAGAUUGUGAUUUUUUGAUAAAAACACAUGGACAAAUUUGAUUACUAAUAUACCCAUUCUUUUGUAAAUAACGACUAAGUCUGUUAUACCACAUACGACCAGAUUGUUUUAAUCCAUACAAUGAUCGUUGAAGUUUAAUGGAGUAUAUAUGACGAGGUUUCUUAAACUCGUCCAUUUUUAAUCCUUCUGGGAUUUUCAUAAAAAUAUCACUAUCAAGUGAUCCAUAUAGGUAUGCAGCAACAACGUCCAUAAGACGUGUUUCCAAUUUUUCUUUUGAUGCCAUACCUAAUAUAAAACGAAAAGUAAUUCCAUCCAUUACUGGCGAGUAUGUCUCGUGAUAAUCAAUGCCAGGCCUUUGAGAAAACCCUUGUGCUACAAGUCGGGCUUUAUAUCUCACAAUUUCAUUCUUUUCAUUUCGUUUUCUUAUGAAUACCCAUUUAUUCCCAACAGGGUUCACACCGAUUGGUGUUUGGACAACAGGUCCAAAUACUUCUCUUUUGCGCAACGAAUUUAAUUCUGUUUGAAUUGCGUCUUUCCAUUUUAGCCAGUCUUUUCUUCGACGGCAUUCAUCCACACUUUGUGGUUCAGGAUCAGAAUUUAUGUCGACAUCCAAUGCCGCAGAAUACACAAAUACAUCAUCGAUUAUGGCUUUACUUCGAUCCCAUAAUUUCAUAUCAUGCACAUAAUUUAUUGAAAUUUCAUGAUUGUUUAAUCCCGAAUCUUCAGGGACGGGAAUCUCUUCAGGAGAUAAUACCACUUCAGGGGUAUUUGCUUCUUCUGGAGCAUGUGCCACUUCAGGGGCAAUUUUCUUUGUUUUUCUUUUUCUUGGUGCAACAUCUUUUGCACCGACCGGUCUACCACGCUUCAGGCGUGGCUUUGAAUCUGUAACCAAUUCAUUUGUACUUGAUUUUUGAAUUGGUAUAUCUACUCUAGCUGGAGUAUUUACUGCAGGUAUAUGAGAUUUUAUUACAUUUCUAGAAUCGUUAAAUGCGUCAGGCAUUUGGUUUGCGAUAUUUUGCAUAUGGAUAAUUCUUUUAACUUCAAGUUCGCAUUGACCGGUACGUGGAUCUAGAAAAUGUAAUCCUGAUGCAUUCCAUGUUAUGUCAGGAUUAACCUUAUUCACAUGUUUAUCUCCCCCUAAGGGAGGAAACAAAGACUCGUCAAAAUGACAAUCUGCAUAUCGUGCAGUAAAUAAGUCUCCAGUUAGUGGUUCAAGAUAUCUAAUUAUUGAUGUCGAAUCAAAACCAACGUAGAUACCUAUUCUUCUUUGAGCUCCCAUCUUCGAUCUCUGUGGUGGAGCAAUAGGUACAUAUACAGCACUUCCGAAGAUUUUGAAGUGAGAAAUAUUAGGAAUUUGACCAAGUACCAGCUGUAGUGGAGAAUGUUGGUUAUAGGCAGUUGGUCUAAUCCUAAUAAGAUUAGCAGCAUGAAGUAUUGCAUGACCCCAAAUAGAUGUAGGUAAUUUGGCUUUCAAUAACAAUGGUCUUGCAAUAAGUUGAAGUCUUUUGAUAAAAGACUCGGCUAACCCAUUCUGUGUAUGUACAUGAGGAACUGGGUGUUCAACUGAAAUUCCUACAGACAUGCAAUAGUCGACAAAGGUUGCAGAUGUGAAUUCGCCGGCAUUAUCUAAACGAAUCGACUUGAUACAAUGGUCUGGGAAUUGAGCUCGCAACUUGAUUAUCUGGGCAAGUAAUUUUACAAAAGCAUCAUUACGAGUUGAAAGAAGACAAACAUGAGACCAUCUAGUUGAGGCAUCUAUUAGUACCAUGAAGUACCUAAAUGGACCAGAUGAUGGGUGGAUAGGUCCACAUAUGUCGCCUUGGAUCCUUUCUAGAAAACUUGGACUUUCAAGCUUAACUUUAGUAGGAGAUGGCCGAGUAAUCAGUUUUCCUAAAGAACAUGCUGAACAUGGAAGGUCAUUUUUGGAAAGAACUUUAAGAUCUCUAAGAGGAUGUCCAGUAGAAUUUUCUAUAAUGCGACGCAUCAUAGAGACUCCGGGAUGACCUAAUCUCUCAUGCCAAAGGGUAAAUGAUUUUGGAUCUAUGCGUUUGGAAGCAAUGACAUUGUGUGACUCAAUGGUUCUGAUUUUCAUCAUAUAUAAUCCUGAGGAAAGUGAGUGAAACUUUUCUAAGAUUUUCUUGUUGCUAGAAUUAGCAGAAGUAAUAAGGAGAUAUUCUUUACCAGCCUCAGAAGUGGUUUCAAUGUGAAAUCCGUUAAGUCUGAUAUCUUUAAAACUAAGAAUGGCAACGAUUUUGUGAAUAANUUUGAUUUUGUAGAAUCGUAUGAGUUAUACCACAAUCAGCAAUGCAUAUAUCUUCAGAAUCCAUUCUGUAUAUAAUUAAGAAACAUAAUUUAUUUGAUAAGAACAUAACACAUUACAUAGAUCAAAUAAAGCACACAGUACACACUAGUAACUAUAGUAAUUCGGACCAUUGAUGCUCAUUCCUCCAGUUGAUAAUAAUUUUAUGAAACUAAUCCUCAGCCUCCCACAUGGGAGUUUCGUUAGACUCAUUAGGACCAUUAACGCUUAUUCCCCCGGUUGAUAUUAUAAGAGAAUCAUCUAAGUUGUUAGCGAAAUUGGUUUCCACCAUUUUUCCUUUCGAUCUUUUAGAUGACUGAUAUAAAUCAACAAGAUGUUGUGGGAUAUAACAAUUACGUGACCAAUGCCCUUCCAUUCCACACUUGUGACAUAAAUUGUCAGUUUUCCCUCCUUGUGGUGCCUUUCUUUUGCUCUGUGUUUCAGGUUGCCACUUCUGGUGACCAGAGCUAUUAUAAGGACGAAAAUGCCCACGACCACGGCCUCGUCCACGGUAGCGACCAUGGCCUCGUCCACCUCUAUGCCCUUUUCCACGUACAUUCUGCUGGAAUGUCGUGUUAUUUACUUCUGGUAAAGGGGCAGAUCCCGUUGGACGGGAUUGAUGAUUCUUAAUCACCAAUUCAUGAUUCUGCUCGGCAACAAGGAGGGUUGAAAGGAGAUCCCCAAACUUGGUAAACUUGCGCUCCCUGUACAUCUCGGCUAAGUUGAUAUUAUUGGGAUGAAAAGUGGAUAAUGUUUUGUCGAUCUUUCUUUUCUCAGUAACAAUCUCACCACACAUAAUGAGCCUAGAACUUAUUUUGAAUAGGACUGAGCUAUAUGCCCGAACACUCUUAAAAUCUUGAAGCCUUAGAUUAGCCCAAUCAUUUUCAGCUGCAGGUAGAUAAACUAGUUUCUGAUGAUCGAACCUAUCCUUUAGAUUUUCCCAUAAAAUAAAGGGAUCCUCGACUUCUAGGUACUCAGAUUUUAAAUCUUCAUGCAUGUGGUGUCGGAGAAAAAUAAUAGAGGUAAAGUUUUCUUCGAUCGUGGAUGUGUUUUCUGCCUUUAUUGUGUUGCUUAAUUUCUUUGAACCCAAAUGCAACUUUACAUCUUGUACCCACGAUAGAUAAUUCUCCCCAGAAAUGUCCAAUGCAACGAACGACAAGUUUGUAAGAUUUGUCAUUAUAAUCUUCUCAGUUCCGGCAGGGCUUCGUGCUGAUAACGUGUUGUAAUAUAUUAGCUAUAAAAGAACAACCGGAGAGCUACUAAAUUUAACAGAAGGAGGGUAAGAAGCUGAGCAUAGAAAGAAAGCUCGGGUGCAAUUUAUUCAUUCACUGAUGCAAGCUAUUUAUAGCAAAAGAUAGCACAAGAGCAUUAAAUGCAUUGUAACAUUUCUACUCCUAAAACCUAGCCUUACUAUUUUACCUUUGACUAUAACAAUCAAUUCACAACAUUUGACAAAUUAUUAGAGUUGGUAAUUUAUUGAAGAACCGAAAUUUGCCAUUUUUAGUUAUACAAAUCAAUAUUAUUCAAGAAUACAAUCAAUCACAAGACAAAUGUUUCUAGAAAUGUAGAAGUCAGAGGAAUGUGUAUGCCAGCUGUUUUUGCUAGAUAUAAGAAAAUAUGAAUAUGUUGUCUUCUAGAUUUAGCUCUAAACUUAGGGUAUAUAACCAAGUGAAUCUAUAUUAUAUAGAGUAAUUGACUAAGAGAGAAUUUGCUUAGAACUGUUGGAAAAAAUCUUGUAGAAAGAAAAAUUCAUCUCAUCUCGUUUACAGAUGUGUUCAUCAACACAAAAGUUUCUUCGAUAUAUAUAAAAUCUCUCAGGUGGAAAAAUGAUCUCCCUUAAAAUUUUAAAAGAACUUUUCUUUUACAAUUUCCUAGUUUUAAUCAGUUUCCUAUUCAAAUAUGAAGAAAAAAAAAUUGAAAAAUAUUGUAGAUUGUAUUCAACCCCGCCCCUUCAACAAUCUACCUAAGGGAAUUGAUUGUAAAUAACAAUUAAUUGAAUCCUAUGUUUCAAUUCUUGUCUAAUUUCACAGGUUUGCCUCAAUUUGAUAAAAGAACUAAAACCUACGGAAAGGUUUGUGAAUUGAGUAAAACUUACAGGAGGUUUUACUUCCAACAUGACCGAAAAAAGCAGCAAUCUCCUUCAUCUGCAUAAGCUUUCCACCUGUGGUACCAAAGCCAAGAGGCUCAAACUGAGCAGCUGCCAGAAUGAAAGACUGGUAAUCCCAGAAUCCAACAGCAUGAGCCACAGGCGUAUUUCUCUUGGAGAAAAGCUCUUCAAACUGAUAAACCUGAAACAAAUCUGAGAUUGUUUGAUUACAACAAUACUUAGACCAUUGCUUACAUUCCCAUCCUUGACUACAAACUCUAUGUCCCUUGACUUUCUUCACCAGGAUCUCUUUGGAAGAAUCCCCAUUCACACCAACACUCAAAACCACCACAACAAACAACAACAAAACCCCCCUUUUCAUUUCAGCUUCCCCUGCAACCCAAACUGAGGUUUUUUUAUUUAUUAUACAAAAUUGGAUACACAAUUAAACAAUUAACAAAUGGAAUUCGUAUCUAGUAAUCAAUGGAGGGCAAGUAUUAUUAUGUACGAUUUUAUAAAGAAAAUUAAGAAGGAUAACUCACAGACUUAGGCUUGGUUGGUAUCCGCUAGAAUUAUAUGAUGCUGCUGCUGCUAUGUUACUUUAGUUUUGGUGUGAUAUUUGUUUCAUGUAGAAUGCAAGUGAUGUCUUGUGUUGGAUCACCUCUCCCAAUCAGACUAGUUGAGAUUCCAAAAUCAACAGGGAAGAUUCACACAUCCCCACCGACACUACCCAUCCGCCCUGUUUAAGCUUAUAAGUUACAUUUCAACUCUUUUACUCAUGGUUGGGAUUUUAUUUAUGCGAGGGACCGGGAGGGAGUAAUAAUUUUAGAUACAGGAUAUAUGUGAAAUUGUGUGUCAUCAAUAUUUUGAGAAAAAUAUUUAUGUAAUAAAUGAAAAAAAUAUCUGUAAUUUAAAAAAUACUUCCUCCGUCUCAAUUUAUAGGUCCAUUUUGGAAAAAAAUUUGUCCCAAAAUACUUGUCCCUCUCUUCUUUCAAUACAAAUCUAUCUACUUAUUAAUUGUGAUUUUUUUGAAACUCAACAUUAUUCUCAUUUCUCAAUACACUAAAUCCCUAUAUUUAUUGUGAUUUUUUUGAAACUCAACUAUAUUCUCAUUUGUCAAUGCACUAAUUAAUGAUACAUGAGAUAAGAUUCUAUCUAACCAACUUUUUUCUUAAUAUGCGUGUUUAUUUCAAAAUGGACCUAUAAAUUGAGACGGAGGGAGUAUUAUAUCACCUAUGUUAUUUUAUUACCAUGAUAUAUAAUUCAUGUAAAUAGACACCUCACAUUAUAAGCAGGCCAGCUAAAGUGCCUUGUCAACUUUUGACGGUCCUCUUCUUUGUGUUCACUGGCGUUUUAUGUUGCGGGUGUUUGGCUAGCUAACUUUUGGGCUUUUUUUACAUAAAAGUUAGCUUCUGCUUAGUUGAGCUUGUUUGGCACAUCAAUAGAAGCACUUAUACUGAGGCUUAAAAGCUGUCAAAAAACAGUGAGGAAAGCUAGUUUUUUUUCUAAAUUACAACUUCUUCUAAUAGAAACACUUAACUUAUAAAUCACAGUAUCCAAACACUUCUAAUAACUUAUAAGUUUAAAUUAACUUUUCACUUAUAGUCCACUUCUUUACUUUAAACAAUAAGUCACUUCUUUUAAGUUCAGCCAAACGGCCCCGUUAUUAACUCCUCAUUUCUAUUUACAGAGACAAACUUAUAUUCAGCAGCAUAGGAACACAUCUCCUGUGGAAAUUUGAAAAUCAAAGAGCAAGUCCAACAAUGUUCUAACAAAUGUCUUAUAAAUAUAAUAAAAUAAUGUGUCCUAAUGAUUUAAGAUAUCAUCUUAAUAUAUCAACUCCAACAACAUGCCUCAUUAUUGUGCCUUAUUAUUAAAAUAUUAAUAUAUUUGAAUUGUUAUUGGAGGGAAAUGAAAAGGAGACCCGAGAGAGGAGAGAGAUGUUGUGGAAUGGCAGGAAACUAUUUUUUUAUUGAAUAGGGCAUGCAUAGUGGUGCCUCAAAAAUAAGGAAUUUGUUACAUGUCCUAGUGUUUUAAGAGCAAGUCCAAGAGUGUCCUAGUUCAAGCCCCAAAUAUAAUAUAAAAUAUCGUGUCCUAGUAAUUUAGGACAUACUUUAGUAAUUUGUACUCCAACCAUGUGCCUUAUUCUCACAAUAUGUCUAAUAUUUUAUUAUUAAAGACUCUCUUUCAUCAUUAAAACAUAAUAUAAAAGUAGAGAGAGAAAGAGAGUGUUGAUGAGAAUUUAUAAUAAAAUAUAGAAUAGGGCAAGGAGAGAUGUGUCCCAAAAAUAAGGCUUGGGGAGGUUGUCCUAGUGAUAUAGGGCAUACUAGGACAUUGUUGGAUCAACUUUUUUCAUCAAUUGCCCUAAAUUAUAACUUGGGACAUGAGAUAGGGUAUCUCUUGGACUUGCUCUAAGGCAUCACUAGGACAUUGUUGGAGCAUUGAUUUGCUUCACAUGCUUUAAAUUUUGAUUUAGGACAUCAAUACAGGGCACUCUUGGACUUGCUCUAAGUACCAUGAUUAAAAUGCGAUAUCUUUAUAUAAUAUAUAAAAUGCAAGCUUGUUUGAUGCUCCCUCCGUCCCAGUCAUUUGUUUACAGUUUCCUUUUUGGAAUGUCCCAUCAUUUCUAUACCAUUUCUAUACAUUCCUAAAAUAAUAAUUUUUAAUAAUAUAAAACACUAUCACACCAACUACAUUCUUUCACUAUCUUCAUUUUAUAAUAAUAUAAACACUAUUAUACCCACUACUUUCCUCCACUAUCACAAAUCUAUAAUUAAAUACAAAUGGGUCCCGCCAUCUUACCCACUUUUCAUCUAACUUUAUUCAUUUUUUACACUUUUUCUUGGUCUCCGUCUCUACACCAAAUGUAUACAAUCUAUUAGCACGGAGGGAGUACCUAUUACAGAGAUUUUUCACUUUUUUUCUUUGCUCCAAGGAAGAGAGGAGGCUUUUACCUCCUGAAAUUCUCUUAAACAAAAAUAAAAAAUAGAAUUUACUCUCAGCCUCAGGACGGCACAUUAUCUACCAAGCAAACUCAUAAAAUCUCCGAGAAUCAUCUGUGUGUCAUCAAUAAAUACCAUAUUUAUGAUUCUGAAUAUAUUUUUUUUGUCACAAUUCUAAAUAUAUUAUUAAGAUCUUAACUUAAUCAACACUGUCUUCAUCUUUGUUGCAGUUCGGUUAUUUUCAAGUAAGGUUCCAAACGGCUAUAUCAGUUCAACACUUCAUAACUUCAUAAAUUACAUUUACAUAAUCAAGCACAUAUACACAAACAACUUCAUUCUUCUGUCGAAAAAAAAAAACUUCAUUCUAAACUAUAAAUUAUACUAACAAUCAAUUAUAUGAAAUUAAACUCAUAUACACGAACUAUAUAAAAUUAAGAUUUUAAAAUGCACAAAUUAAAUAAUCUUAUACAUAUCCUAUAUAUACAUACAAGUGAGAUGUAAUUACAGUAAAGUUCAACCCCCAACUACAAGUGUAAUAUGAUCACCCAAAAUUUUAAAUUUGAAGUUGUAUAUACAUAGAUUGAAAGGUACAAGUUACUCAUAUUUUUAAAUUGAAGUCAUAUAUAUGUAGAUUGAAAGAUGCAAGUUUAAAACAAAAGUAAUAUGGUAGUAAAUACAGAAAAAAGAAUGGAAAAAUAGUUUUUCUGGCAAAUUCCCAGAUUUUAAAAGUCAGGGUUCUAACUAUGCAAUCAAAACUCUUGAAAUACUUGUCAAAAAGUAGAUUAUUAAAAACAAACAAGAGUAUGAUAAUUAAUUGAAUUUGCAACAACGUUAUAUAAUUGCAUACUUACAAAAUAAUACACACAAACUUUUAGUAACAGAGAAUUCAAAAAAUUUAUACAACUGGGAAGAAAUCAUUAUCACAAACUUGAACCAUUGCUCAAACUUAUUGAGAUAUAACUGAACACAAUCUCUGAGCACAUGACUCCUGUUCUGCAGUUCUUGUGAUAAAAUAUAUCUCAAGAGUCAUCUUUACUUUUGGUUGCUGGAUUGAAAGCUUCCUGAUCCGCACACGUGAGUACUUCAUGAGGUCCUGCCUCCUCACGGCCAACACCCAUCAAGUCAAGGUAGUAUUGGUAAUGAGAGACGAUGGUGUUCAUGGCAUCGAUGUCACCUUGACCGCAUACCAUUUCCCCGUAAAGAAUAUUCAUUGUGGCACCGAAACCAGGAGUUCGCUUGGCUAAAGUGUCAUUCUUGGUGGGCUUCCAGUUGCCGACGAAAGCAUCAUGUGAUGAAGGCUGCCCCUUCUUGAUUUCGGUCAUCCACCUCCAGAUUGCUGCCUGGAAUGCAAGGGUAGCAUUCUGUUCAAUGUAUUCUGGAUGGUUCAAUAGAUCCACCUUUAGGGCCUCACCAGCAGCACCAUAGUUAACGUUCCUGAGCAGCAGAGAAGUUAUAAAUAUAAGCAACCAGUACCAAAAGAUGUCAGGAACCCUCAAUUAUUUUUUCUUGACCUAACAAAGUAAUGACUAUAUGAUUGACAAGAUUUAAUCCAUAGCAAAUGAUCUAUGAAUUCAUCAAGGCAUAUAUAACUUCGCAAACCACCACCAAUACAAGGGUCAGAGUUUACUAAAUUUGUUACUGAAUCACUAUUAGAGUUGCAAAUUUAGUUGAGACAAAAGUAGCUAAAUGGGCAACUCAUUCUAUCAAUUAAGUACCAUAUACCAGUAAUAAAUCCAAAUCGGCUCCGCUUAAGAAGUAAGAAUCAGAAGCAGUGACAAAGGAAUAAAAAAAACUUACCAGUAGAUAGGCAGAGCACCACGUCCGUAGUAUUCAGCCCCAGGAGCACAUGGGUAUGUGUACUUGUACGAGUCAUCACAAUAUGUUUGGCUAGGACUCAAUUCUCUGUUGUAGCACAAACCCCAUGCCAAUGGUCCUCCAGUUGCGACUCCAUAACCACCUGCACGUUAAAUCAUCAACGCCAAUCUUGCAACUUGUUUAUAGAUAGAUGAAAAUAACAAAAGAUCAGUAAGAUUUUAGGCAACAAACAUAUUUGAGACUGAAACUCUUAAGGCAAUAUAGAUCGGCCAAAGACAGCAAAUAACAUCAGUAUGAUGAGCAAACUGAUAAAUGGUUUCCACUAGCCAAAAUUGACCAACAGUUUCCAAUUAGGCUUUAAUAAUAGGGGUUUUCUCAUAAAUACCUAAGUUCAAAAUUGUUUUUGUAAAAACACUACUAUCUUUUUUAAAUAAUUUGCAAAAAUACCAAACUUUCGAAAAUAUUUGCAAAAAUAUUGUAUGCAGCCUGUUGCAACCACACGCAACCAUACUUGCAACCAGCUGCAACCAUAUUUGCAACCCCUGCGGGGCCAAUUAACUGAAGUUGCAUAUGGUUGCAGACCAUAUUUUUGCAAAUAUUUUCUAAAAAGUUAAAAUUUGUGCAAUUUUUUCCAAAAGAUAGUAAAAUCGCAAAAAACAAACUUAGAAAAUGUGGUAUUUUUGAUAAAUUCCCUUAAUAUUAGUACAGAGUGGAAUUUUCGAUUCAAUUAAUAUCUAUAUUACUUCUGAACUACAGAGCAAAUCACUCCAAUGCAUAAAUGAACUUUAAAAAACAGCCUUAUAAUACGAAAUGAAUGUGGUUACAUGAUAAAAAAUAAUAUACUACAUAGUUUUCAUAGAAUAACUGAUGAGGUAUUUUAAUCCUAUGUUUCAAUUUUUGUCUAAUUUCACAGGUUUGCCUCAAUUUGAUAAAAGAACUAAAACCUAAGCAAAGGUUUGUGAAUGAGUAAAACUUACAGGAGGUUUUACUUCCAACAUGACCGAAAAACGCAGCAAUUUCCUUCAUCUGCAUAAGCUUUCCACCUGUGGUACCAAAGCCAAGAGGCUCAAACUGAGCAGCUGCCAGAAUGAAAGACUGGUAAUCCCAGAAUCCAACAGCAUGAGCCACAGGCGUAUUUCUCUUGGAGAAAAGCUCUUCAAACUGAUAAACCUGAAACAAAUCUGAGAUAGUUUGAUUACAACAAUACUUAGACCAUUGCUUAC